UUGAAAAAAAUUUUAAAAAAAUAAUUAUUCUUACGGUUCUGAUUUAUAAUGAUCACAUUUCUUUUGUUUCUACAUAUUUAACUUCUGCUUUAAAGAACGACAGUGUUUACUAAUCAAUAUGAUAUAUAUUCCUAUCAGUAAGGUUUCACUCUGAGUUUUAAAGUGUCAGUGAUGCGACUUUCUGUGGUUUGACCUUCUGCUUCCUUCCUUGUUGUGCCAUUUCAUAUGUUCCUAUGACCUUUCUUUCAGUUCAAAGUGAGGAAAUUCAAUUCAGAGAAUUUAAAAAUAUUUAAAGUUAUUUCUUUUUUUAAUUGAGGGGGAAGUUGAAAUAUAAAUCUCAUUCAUGUGUUCUCCUUUUACAACCAGUUUCCAAGGAGACAGAACUGGACCAUUUGUCAGUAACUAUUGAAGGUCCAUCUCAUUACUCAUCAAAUAGCGAAGGAUUGUGUUCUGUGUUCAGUUCUCCCAAAACUCCUGGAAGCUUUUCAUUAAACAUUCCUUCCAACCUGAAGAAGCCAGGCGAGAUGACAGUUUGUCUUCUACCAGUGAAGACUCUGAGAAGGAUGAAAAGGAUGAAGACCAUGAGAGGGAAAGGUUUUAUAUUUACAGGAAACCCUCACAUACAUCUCAUAAAAAAGCAACAGGCUUUGCUGCUGUUCAUCAGCUAUUUACAGAUCGCUGGCCAACAACACCAGUCAACCAAAGUCUUACUGGCACAGCUACUGAGAAAAAUGUUGAUUUUGAACUUGAUAUAUGGGUUGAA
rnacentral:lncRNA from 1 species